CUGCUAUCGGAUUGAUACUAAGCCAUGCGAGUCAUUGUAGCAAUACAAGGCAGACGGCUCAGUAACGCGUAGUCAACCUACCCUAUGGACGGGAAUAACCUCGGGAAACUGAGUAUAAUGCCCGAUAGAACAUUAUGCCUGGAAGGGUUUAUGUUCCAAAUGAUUUAUCGCCGUAGGAUGGGACUGCGGCCUAUCAGUUUGUUGGUGAGGUAAUGGCCCACCAAGACUAUUACAGGUACGGGCUCUGAGAGGAGUAGCCCGGAGAUGGGUACUGAGACACGGACCCAGGCCCUAUGGGGCGCAGCAGGCGAGAAAACUUUGCAAUGUGCGAAAGCACGACAAGGUUAAUCCGAGUGGUUUCUGCUAAAGGAACCUUUUGUUAGUCCUAAAAACACUAACGAAUAAGGGGUGGGCAAGUUCUGGUGUCAGCCGCCGCGGUAAAACCAGCACCUCAAGUGGUCAGGAUGAUUAUUGGGCCUAAAGCAUCCGUAGCCUGCUCUGUAAGUUUUCGGUUAAAUCUGUAUGCUCAACAUACAGGCCGCCGGGAAUACUGCAGAGCUAGGGAGUGGGAGAGGUAGACGGUACUCGGGAGGAAGUGGUAAAAUGCUUUGAUCUCUCGAUGACCACCUGUGGCGAAGGCGGUCUACCAGAACACGUCCGACGGUGAGGGAUGAAAGCUGGGGGAGCAAACCGGAUUAGAUACCCGGGUAGUCCCAGCCGUAAACUAUGCAAACUCAGUGAUGCAUUGGCUUUUGGCCAAUGCAGUGUUGCAGGGAAGCCGUUAAGUUUGCCGCCUGGGAAGUACGUACGCAAGUAUGA
rnacentral:rRNA from 1 species